rnacentral:rRNA from 1 species
AUGAAUAUCCUGGCCUGGAACUGUCGAGGACUGGGGUUAGACUCGACAGUGGGCGAAUUACGAGACCUGAUACGGUCCUACAACCCAGCGAUGGUUUUUUUUUUGAGUGAGACAAAGAAGAAGGCGAGGGCGAUGGAAAGGCUCAAGUGGAGUUUGGGUUUCACUAGUGGUGUUGUUGUCGAUUGUGUGGGUCGAAGCGGUGGGUUGACACUAUGGUGGAGAGAUCAUAUUCAGGUCAAUGUGAGGCCGUGGAGCCAAUAUUUCAUCAACGCAGAGGUCACGUGUGAAGGGCAUAUCUGUAGAAUCACUGGAUUCUACGGAGAACCCCGAACGGAAUUACAGAAAAAAUCUUGGGAUGCAAUUAGAUACCUGAGAGGGCAGGAUAAUCUUCCAUGGAUGUGCCUAGGUGAUUUCAAUGAGGCCCUCUUUCAGACGGAUCAGAUUGGUGGUAACCCUAGAGGUUUCUUGCAGAUGGAAGAUUUCCGCGACUGUCUCGCCGACUGUGGACUGGCAGACUUGGGCUUCUCAGGCUAUCCGUACACGUGA